rnacentral:rRNA from 1 species
GACGAACGCUGGCGGCGUGCUUAACACAUGCAAGUCGAACGGAAAGGCCCCUUUGGGGGUACUCGAGUGGCGAACGGGUGAGUAACACGUGAGUAACCUGCCCUUGACUUCGGGAUAACUUCAGGAAACUGGGGCUAAUACCGGAUAGGAAUCCUUGCUGCAUGGUGGGGGUUGGAAAGCUUCGGCGGUUUUGGAUGGACUCGCGGCUUAUCAGCUUGUUGGUGGGGUAGUGGCUUACCAAGGCUUUGACGGGUAGCCGGCCUGAGAGGGCGACCGGCCACCUUGGGACUGAGAUACGGCCCAGACUCCUACGGGAGGCAGCAGUGGGGAAUAUUGCACCAUGGGCGGAAGCCUGAUGCAGCAACGCCGCGUGCGGGAUGACGGCCUUCGGGUUGUAAACCGCUUUCAGCAGGGGCGAAGCUUGUGGUGACGGUACCUGCAGAAGAAGCACCGGCUAACUACGUG